UACAGAGGUCUCAAGCGUUGUUCGGAUUCAUUGGGCGUAAAGGGUGUGUAGGUGGCGCUGUAAGUCGGGUGUGAAAUCUCGGGGCUUAACUCCGAAACUGCAUUCGAUACUGCGGUGCUUGAGGACUGGAGAGGAGACUGGAAUUCAUGGUGUAGCAGUGAAAUGCGUAGAGAUCAUGAGGAAGACCAGUGGCGAAGGCGGGUCUCUGGACAGUUCCUGACACUGAGGAGCGAAAGCGUGGGGAGCGAACAGG
rnacentral:rRNA from 1 species